AUCUCUUUUUUCUUCUUCUUU
rnacentral:sRNA from 1 species